AUUGAUUUUCACCAAUGUCUUUUUUUGUCUUCGAUAAUGAUUCAUAUAUAUGCUUAUUAGCAGUCUUGGGUACGCAAGAAAAAAUGGACCAAAACAUCCUCAGAUUUAAAAAUGGACAAAAUUUAAAUUUCAGGUGUUAACUGAAAACUCCUUCAGUCUACUGGAUUUCACCAAACUGCAACCAAGCAGCUUGUUAUUUGGCUGUCAUAUCUCACUUAGGAAACUGUUCAGUUGGUACCAACAAUGCGAUGGAAUAACAAAGUGGGGCCUUUAAAAGGCAGUUAGGCCAUGAGUUUGUUCCUGAUGAAUGGGAUUAGGCGAGGAUAAAAGAGGCUUCAUACAGCGGUUCAGCCCUCUUGCCCUUCUGCCUUUUACCUUGUGGCGACACAGUAUUCCUCCCCUCCAGAGGAUGCAGGCCUCACCAGACAACAAGAACAGACAGCACCUUGAUCUUGGACUUCUCAUCCUCCAGAACUAGAGAAGCUACAUAGAAUGUUAAUGAAUCAACAAAAAAUGUGAUUUGAAGACUGUGAUUACCCAAGUCUUUAAGAGAUAUAAUGAAGACAGCACUUUGCACCCUUGAAUUUUACUCAUUGCAUUACAAUAAAGAGGAAUGCUCCUGGUAGAAGCAUUCUUCUCUCUUAAAGAUCUAAAAGAUUUCUAAGAUCUCCAGACCAGCAGAGCAUGACGUUGUGGAAAAAGAAAGCAAAAAUUCUGUGACUCACUAAGGGUAAUGGUCCAAACAACAUAAUGUCAUCAAUGUAAUGUACCAGUGUGAUACCUAUGGAAGGGAAAGGCACUCAAGAUCCCUGUGAACUAAAUUAUGACAGAGGGCUGGAGAGCUGAUAUACCCCUAAGGUUUUAUAUUGGGCUGUGCAGUUUCUCCUGCAAGUCAGAAGAUGGAACCUGUAGGUAAGAGCAGCUGCAGCCAACAUGGCUGGGUAUAUACUUGAUCCUUGUUUACUUUCAGAAACACUUUGUUGCCUCAGGCAAUGGGCUGGUUAGUGGAAUAUACACUGGUCUGAGCCCCUUGCUCAGGCCCUGGGGGCACAGGACACAGUGGGUGGGCUAAACCUGGCGAGGCUUCCUCCAAGUCCCCUAAUGGCUGGCACAAACAUCAAUGCUGAGGGAGAAGCCAGUGGGUAACUACCAAAUGCCCAGCUAUAUGUGUAGACGUAAAGCUGGGAAACCUUCUCAGCUCCAAGUUUUCUGCACAUGGUUGAGGGACAAUCUAAUCUAAUACAGGAGGGUGGGUGCUUCAGAUUCCUAAAGAACUGCCUGAGCAUGGAACAGAAAGGGCUCCUCUCCGUCAAGAUCUCUGCACAGGAGGAUUGGAGUGACUCAGGCUUUUGAACCACACAAGCAGAUUCUGUUAGGCUGUUCUUGUAUUGUUAUAGAAAAUACAUGAAACUGGAUAAUUUAUAGAAAAAAGAGGUUUAACUGGCUCAUGGCUCUGCAGGCUAUACCGGAAGCAUAAUGCUGACAUCUUCUCAGCCUCUGGAGGGGCCUCAGGAAACUUACAAUCAUGGUGGAAGACAAAGGAGGAGCAGGCAUGUCACAUAGUGAAAGCAGGAUCGAGAGAGAGAGCGAAGAGUUUUGAACAGCCAGAUCUCACAAGAAGUCACUCACUAUCAUGAGGAGAGCACCAAGAUGAUAGUGCUAAGCCAUUCAUGAGAAAUCUACCCCCACUAGGCCCCACCUCCAAUACUGGGGAUUACAAUUUAACAUGAAAUUUGGGUGAAGACACAUAUCCACACUAUAUCACAAAUGCUCUGAAUACCUGGACAUCUGCUUAAGCAUUUAGAAGAGAGGCCCUCCUACACUGGGUUCUCUGCACAGGAAGGGUGGGGAUGGUCAGGCUGCUGAUUCCAGUGAAUGAGUGCACUAAAUGCCUGGAGAUCUGCCUGAGCAUGAGCCAGAGAGGACCCCACUGGACCGUGAUCUAUGUUGAUGAAAGGUGAGGUGGCUCAGGCUGCUUGUGCAGGCAAGUGGUUGCUCCAAAUGCCUGCAUUUCUGCAUGGGGGUGGAGUGGAGAGAACCCCACUACACCACAGUCUCAAGAGAGCAGGCUGAGGCACCCUGCAGUGGCACGUGCAGACUGGCUCCAAGGUUGCCAAGCUGGCCCCAUCUGCAAGUCUCACAACCCAGGAGAAACCACAAAUGUAGCAGUUCUUCUGCUCCAGGCUUGUGACAAUUCCAGUGCCUACUGCUGAGGUACUUUCCACAGUUCUGGCUAUGGAGACCCCUACUUCACUCCAGAGCAGCUGCUCCAAUCUCUGGCCCAAGAUGAAAACGCCCACAUUACCAUGCUGCCAGGUCAACAAAGAAUGGCUUACUUUGUAUGUACCUAAAUUUAAAAUGUCACCCUCUUCUCAGUACUUGUUCUAGGGAAAUCUCUGUGCUUUUUUCGUGUCUUUCUCUCAAAAGAUCUCAUAGCCUGUCCCCCAAGUUAAUUCUAGAGCUUGGGAGAAACAAAGUGCUCUCCUUCAGUCUAGGUUGUUCCACUCUCCAGUGAAAAGGCAAGUGACGGGGAGAUUUUCUGCCUUUCUCAUGUGCUUCAUUCACUUUGAUCAGCUGGUUGUCAUCAUGGGCCUGUUUGCUGGCAUUCUUCUUCCCCAGAUCUAGAAUGUGCUUCAUGAUUCCAGCAGAUUCCCAUUUUCUUUCUUGAAUAAAAUCUCACAGAGUUGAUUUUCAUGCACUAUCUUGCUAUUUCCAAGUGUCUGAGGCACACUAACAGCCUCUAAUCUGCCAUCUUGGAAAAAAAUGAGAUUGAGUUGUCCUGACUUAUAUUUGAUUUAUGAAAGUUUGUCCUGACUUAUAUUGGAUUUAUAUAUAACUUAUUUAAAUCUCCUUAGACAGGUUUAGGAGAUCUAGAUAGUAUUUCUUUUGCACUUUUAUUUUUCAUUUUAAAUUUCAAGUCAAAAAAUUGAGUAAAAAUUAUGCUCAGUUUUUCUGUUUAUGUUGGUAUUUAAAUUUACACAUGUGGCAAAGCCCUUCAUAUCUCGUAUUGACAUAUAUACUCAGUUAACUAAUUCACAUUGACAGAUUAUUCUCCACUUUUUUGAUCUAACUGAAAAUUCCACUUUCCCUCAUUUUUUCAUAUCUAAGCAAUAUUUAGUCAUAACAACUUUAUUGUUUUAGUAUUUUUCUGGUUAUAAAAAUAGUGCAUUUAUAAGUGCAAAAUAUUAACAAUAAAAUAUAAAUUUUGUAUUUGCAAUAAUCUCAUUACUAAAAAGAUUUUUCUUUUUUUAUAUACCUUUUGUCCACUUGUAGAAUCACUUUUCCAUGCAUAUUCAUUAGUAUGUUUUGCUUAUUUUCAAAACAAUAUUUGUUUAUAUUGUUGGUGGUGGUAUUGAUGAUGAAUUUUCUUGUGUGCUCUACAAUCUUCCCCAUAGUAUUUAGAUAUUGAUCAAAAAUAUUUGCAGUAUAUCACUUGUGUAUUAAUUUUGUCUGUAAUCUCUUUGAGUAAAAAUUAUUUCCCUUAAUUUCAAAAAAUACAUUGAGAGUUUUCUAAUAUGUUUGGCUUUUUUGGAUUUAUUUUUAAAAUAUCCUUUUUCAAAUUUAUAAUUUACUAGCUAUAUUGUUAUAUUUCUCAUAUUUGGGAAUUUAAUCCACUGUAAUGCGUCACUGUAUUUGGCAUCAAGUAGGAAUGCAACCUACAUUUCUCUGUUGUUCUAUGUUUUCUAAAUUACCUACUAACAAUGAAUAAUUUCUCAAUGGGUUUCUGACUCCAAAUUUGUUCCUGAGUUCUAGAUUUAGUUUUAUUGACUUAUUUGUUCCCACAAAAUUAAAUGAGCUUUUAUUCCUAACUACAACUUUGGAACAUGCUUUAAAUUUGUGAGGAUAAGACCUUUCUUUACUUUUUUUGGUCAAAGUUAUAUUAUUGUUAUUUGAAUUUCUACAAUUAUAUUCUAACAUAACCCUUAUAAUUAAUCUAAAACCUCAUAGUAGAAAUUUUAAUUAGAAUUGUACUAUAUUCAUUAUGAAUAUUGUGCUAUGUAUCUUAUAAUAUUAUAUCCUUCCAUUCAUUAACAUAGUAAAUAUCUUCACUUAUUUUUCUGUUUGGAAGUUAAUAUUUCCCGUAAAAUUACUGGGGUUUGCUGUUAGAUCAAUUUUUACAUGCUUGAAGGUGAUUGUUUUUAUUGUGAAUGAAUUUUUUUAUUAUGUGUAUUACUGUGAUGGAAAAACCCUACUGUUUUUACAUUGGUCAUAUAUGUGUAUGUGUAUGUGUGUGUGUGUUUGUGUGUUGAGCCUUUUUAUUUUAAAAAUGUUGAUUAUUUUGUGUUUCUAUGUGUAAUCACAUAGCAUUUGCAAAAAAAAAUUGGUUUAUGCCUCCUAUUUCAAAACUUGUCCUUCUUGUUUCUGUUUACUUUUAGUACAUUGGUUAUACACUCUAAUACUGUACUGAAUAACAGCAAUAAUAACAGCCAUUUAUGUCUUGCUACUUAGUAAUAAAUAAAGUGAAUCUAACUUUUUUCCCUGGAAUAUCUUUUUAAAAUGUGUUCAAUAGAUGCCUUUUAUAAGUGAGCAAGGUGUUUACUAUCCCUGUUUGGGUGAAUUUUGUCCUAGAAAAAAUACUCAGAAAAAGAAAAUUAUAUCUCGACUCACUGUUGAACCUGUGCAUGACAGGGACAAAGCCUGCAUGCCAGUGUAUAAUAUCAGUCUUAUAUUUAUUCUUUGCAGAUAAUAUGGUUUUUAUAGCAGAUUUUAAGCUUUCCUCUUUAAUUGUAUUUUGCGGUUUUACUCCAACAGGUCAAAUUUGGAUAUAUAUGUUUCUUUAUCUUUUGUGUGAAUCUGAGUAUUUGUGGCUUCCAUAGAUUCUACAAAAUAUCUGUAUAAGGAUUGAUUACCUUCAUUGCUUAUAUUAUCUCUUUCUAUAAGUAAAGCGUAUAUUAAGUUUUUUCACUGUAUUCCUCCUGAAUAUUUAUCAUCUUUCAUGCAUUGCAUUUAUUUCUCUUUUAUAUUUUAUGUAUAAUUUUCUCAUACUUAUUCUUUGUAAACUUUCAUUGUCUAAUCAAAGAAAGAAUAUUUGUCUAAUCAUUUAAAUCAUUCUAUUGAAGUAUGGUUAAAACCACUAUUACUCUUCAUUAAUAAAAGCUACGUGUUUUCUUCCAUCCGUGCCUUGUCACUUUAAUAAUCUAUAAUUUGUCUAGUCUUUUAAAACUUCAUACAUAGUUAUAAUUAUUAAAUAUUUUAAUGUUUGAGUUUAUAAAUCUAUAUACUGUUCUAUAGCUUGUUGUAUUUUAAUUUUUUGUUUUGUAUGUGGACUUAUAUUCUGUAGCUUUUUUAGGGAAAUUAUUUGAGGCUUCCUUCCCUCUGCUCCCACCAUGUAUCACACAUCCUAUUUCUCCUGUGACAGUUUCUUAGACUUUUCCUUUUUAUGAUGACCUUGACAGGGUUGAGGAUUAUUGGACAGAUACUUUGUCAAAUGCCCCAUAAUUGCAUUUGUCUAUACUUUUAUCCUAAUUGUAUUGGGUUUAUGAGUUUCAGAAAGGAUGACCAUAAAGGUGAAGUGCCAUUUUCAUCAUAUCAUAUCAGGAUACACACUAACAACAUGACUUAUCACUGUUAAUAUAACCUUAUUAGUUGGUAGAGGUAAUGUUUGUCAUGUUUCCCAUUGUAAACUUACUGUUUUUCUCCCCUUUUAUAAUUCUGUACUCUCUUGAAGGGAUUCACUAUUCACAGCUCAGACUGAAGAAGGGGUAAGCUUCCCUCUCAAUAAGGGAGUAUCUACAUAAAUUAUUAGUAGUUCUUCUGAAAACAAGACUUCUUUCUUCUCCCCAGUUAUUUAUUUAUCCAUUCAAGCAUUUAUUUAUAUAAGCAUGUGUAUUAGUCAGGAUUCUCUAGAGGGACAGAUCUAAUAGGAUAUAUGUAUAUAUGAAAGGGAGUUUAUUAAGGCGAAUUGACUCACAUGAUCACAAGAAGUCUCACAAUAGGCCAUCUGCAAGUUGAGGAGCAAGGAAGUCAGUAGUGGAUCUAUCCGAGUCCCAAAUCCUCAAAAGUAGGGAAGCUGACAAUGUAGUCUUCAGCCUGAGGCCGAAGGUCCAAGGGCCCCUAGUAAACCACCUAGUAUAAGUUCAAGAGUCCAAAAGCCAAAGAACUUGGAGUCUGAUCUUGGAGGGUGGCAGGAAGCAUCCAGCACAGGAGAAAGAUGAAGGUUGGAAGACUCAGCAAGUCUGCUCAUUCCACCUUCUUCUGCUUACCUUCUUCUAGCUGCUCCAGCAGCAGAAAAGAUGGUGCCCACCAAGAUUAAGGGUGGGUCUGCCUCACCCACUCCACUGAUUAAAAUGUUAAUCUUCUUUGACAACACCCUCACGGACAUGCCCAGGAACAAUACCUUGAAUCCUUCAAUCCAAUAGAGUUGACACUCAGUAUUAACUAUCACAGCAUGACUCAUAGAAUUUACAUUAUAUUUUGGGUUAAAAUACAAUACUACUAUAUUUAACUUGUUGCUCAAAUGAUUUUAGCUUUAUCUGUUGGUAGUUUUUUCAUCUGGUUUCUUUGUCCCUUCGACAUAAUACUUUUGUUGUGUUGCAUGUGUGUGUUGAGAAUUUUCUUACUUUCUGCCAGUAUCAUAUACUGGAAGCUAAUUUUGUAUAUUUUCUGUUUCACUACUAGAUUUGGCCAAUUCUCCUGAUUUUUCUCAUGAAAAACAUUAUUAAAAAGUAAGAUAAGGCCACUGGCUGUGCUUGUUACUACUAGGAUGUCAUUGCUUCCAGUCCUGUGACAAAAGAGAAUAAAAAUAUAUAUGUAUGUACUAACACUUGUAUAAGCAUAUAAUCACAACUAUUUCUACUUGUCUCUAAGUGUUUAUAUAUGAUGCUAUGUGAGUUCAUCUGAUGUCCCUAAACCCUAAUCCAUUGCCACACAGAUCUUUCUAUUCUCUUCCACUUGACUAUCUGUAAACUCCCAUUGCAACAUUGAAAAACCUUGUUCACACCAUCCACCAUUCUUUAAGCAUUCAUUUCCAAUAUACAUGUAUUGUAUCAAAAUUGUUAAUCGUUACCCUGUGUGACACAAAUUUACACAGGGUAACGUUGUAAAGUUUUUAUGUAAAGUUUUUAUUUGCCAUUAGUUUUACAGACCACUCAUUUCCAAAGUUACUUAGGUCAGCACCUAUUUGUCCUACCACCUUUAGUUACAUACAGUUAGAAUGAUUUGUUACAUUUUUCAUUGCAUCCUGUGUCCUCCCAAUUUCUUAAAUAAUUUUUAAUGAAUACAUUGAUUCAUACUUUUUGCUGUAAAAUUCCAUUUAUUUUGACAAAUGCAUAAGUUAAUGUAUCCACUAUUAGAGUAAAUUGCAAAUAGGUUCAUCUCUAAAAACUCAUGGAUUUUUAUUUAUAUUUAAUGCUUUAUUACCAAUUACUUAUAUUUUCCUUUUGUUCAAGAAUCUUGGUUCACUUUUGUGGAGACUUGUAUCUUGUAACCAAUUUCUAAACACAGUCUAGACCCUGUUGCUUUUUUCAUGAUAUUAUGUCCAGAAUAAUUGACUGCUGUCUUCAUUCUUUAUUCAAGAUUAGAUCACCUCUUCACCACAUUAAAAUUCAUUCAUUCCUUUAUUAAUCAUUCAGCAAAUAGCUAUUCAGUAUGAGAUACUUAAAAGAUGCUUUUAAAAGUAUUAAGCAUAUGACACUGAUAUCUAUAUCUACAUCCACAUGUGUAUCUAUCUAUUUAGCUAUAUAUCAAGUGAGCUUACAUUUUUAUUGACAAAGACAAAAAAUACAUAAAGAUAAUACAAAAUGUUAUGUAGUGAUAAAAUCUAUAAGAAAACAAUAGAACAGAGUAAGAUGAUAGAAAGUGAUAAAGGCAGCUGCUAUAUUAAAUGCUGUGAUGAGGGAAGCCUUGAGUAAGUCAUAUUUGAAAGAAUAAUUUAUUAUGACGCCCACUAAUAUCAUUCUUAGGCAGAAGAAUCAGCAAGAACAUAUGUUCUGAGUCAAAACCAUGUUGAGUAUAUUUAAGAACUCACAAGAAGGAUAUCUGCUGAAACACAAGGAAGAAGAUAGAGUGUAAAUCAAGAUGGGAUUAGUUAAGGCCUUUUACAUAUUUAGAGAUUUUUGUAUCUUAAACUUUUCAUUUUGUUAAUGUAUUAUUUUCAAGAUUUUGUUGGGUUGUCUGUCUGUUCUCUUGUAGCCUGCUGAACUUCUUAAAACAAUUAACAUGAAUUAUCUCCCAAGCAGUUUGUAGAGCUCCAUUUUGGGGGAUCAGUGACAAGACAGUCACUUCAUGUUCCUUUGGUGGCAUCAUGUUUUCUUGAUUUUUCAUGUUCUUUGAAGACUUGCCUUGCUGUCUUCACACUUGAAAACCCAGUCUCCUCCUCCAGUCAUUACUGACUGGCUUUGGGAGACAAACAAUUCACUAGUCUGCCCAGCUAAGAAUUCUGGGGCAGAGCUGAAUAUCAUCCGUUGGUGCACUUAGUAAAAUUCUUUUACUCAAAUAAAAACAAAAUAAAUUGAAUUCAAUGAAUUAUAUGCUAUAAUGUCAGUAAGUUUUUAAAAUUAAUUUACUCUUGAAAAACAAAACAUGAUUUACUAAAUGAGAAAAACUAUAUUACUAUUGUGUAGCUUUUCCAAGUACUAAAAAAUUGACCAGAAUAAGUAAGUAUCUGGUAACGUGCCCAAUGCUUCAUGAAUUUCUUCUUAGGCUGUACAUCAGGUGGAUUCAGAAGGUGUGGGUAAAAUGUUUAUUCUGGGAUUCCAAACCACUGUGGCCCUUAAUAAUUAAUUGGUGUUGACAAAAUGAGUGUCAGGAAAACAGAAAACAAAACAAAUAUCUUUUGUUCAAAUCCCAGUCCCAUUAAAUCUUUCAGACAGAUCUUCCUUUGUGGAAAAUUUAUAAAUCCCAUGUUCCCUUUUAAAACAGUAGGUGCCCCUUAUAUGAGCCAUAACUCUCACAUAAUUGGGUGUUCUAGGACUCUUUCCAAAUUUCUACAAUAGGUAUAAUUUUUCAAGAACACAUCUGCUAUAAGUGAAAAAAAAUCUGCAACAAUUAACUAAGAAAACUAAAUCAUGUGAUUUACACUGUUAAAAAUUAUUUGAAUACAGAAUCUUUGACAUGUAAUGUGUGUUAGGCAAGGGGAUGGUGGUAGUGUGUCAUUUUGUAUUUUUAUUUAUUUUUGAAAAUAAUGGAAAUUAUAUAAUUUCUACCAGUUUUUUUUCUCAUUUUUAUUCAAAUGUAGCAUAGGUAGCUCUGGAUGUAAAUUCUGAACAUAUAAAGUCACUGUUUCUGAUAUGGUUUAAAAUAACCACUCUUUGAAAUAUUAGCUAUAAAUAAACCUAUAAUGUCAACUGCAGUUUCUAUGAAAAAUAGCACGUACCUCAUAAUUACCGCAUAAUUUGCUGCUUACUAUUAGUCUUCCAUUGUCAUUAUGUUGUUAUAGCCAUUGUUUGUGGGCUUGCAUUUCCCCCAAUUGUGUGUUCAAGAAAGAUAAAAACAAAAAAACAACUACCAAGUCAUCGACUAGAAAUUAAGUAAUGAAUUCAUCAAAUUUCAAGUAUUUAAAAGAAAUUAACUAUUAAUUACAUACUCAUUUACUCAAAGGUGUUUAUUAAAUUGCUGCUAUAAAACAACCACAAGAAUAGAUGAGAAAACAGUACAAAUAGUACAAACAUUGCACUGACAGGAGUGUGAUGUAGCCAAAUGUUUCAUGAAAUAAGAUGAACUACGAUAGAUGUAAUGGAGGAGGAAGAGGAGAAAAAAAAAACAUGUACCUAAAACUCUUCUGCUUUUUUGUGAUGUCAAGUGUUUCCAGCUUGCAAUGAGUCUACAAUGAGAUACCACUUCACAUCCACUAGAAUGGCUAUAAUCAAAUGGACAGAUAAUAACAUGAGCUGGCAAGGAUGUGAAGAAACUGGAAUCUUCAUAUGCUACUGGGGACAUGUAAAGUGGUACAGACACUUGGAAAACAGCCUGGCAUUUCCACAAAUGUUUAAACCCAGUUACUAUAUGAUCCAGUAAUUCCACUCCAAGGUUUAUACCCCAAAGAAAUGAAAACACAUGACAGUAAAAAAACUUGUACAUUAAUGUUCAUAAUAGUCUCAUUUAUAAUAGACAAGAUGUGGAAACAACCAAAACAUACAUUAACUGAUGAAUGAAUAAAUAAAAUGUGUUAUAUUGAUAUAAUAUAAUAUUUGGCAAUAAGAAUAAAUGCUACAAAAUGGAUAAACCUUGAAAACAUUACGCUACAUAACAGAAUACAGUCACCGAGGGCCAUAUAUUUUAUAAUUCCAUUUAUAUGUAAUAUGCAGAAUAGACAAAUCUGUAAAAACAGAAAGUGCUUUAGUGGUUGCCUACAACUAGAAGGAUAGGGGAAUUGGGGAUAAAAGCUAAGGGGUGUGGAGUUUCUUCUGGGAGUAAUUAAAAUGUUCUAAAAGUGAUUGUGGUGAUGGAUGCGCAAAUUUCUAAGUAAACUAAAAGUUGCUGACUUGAAAAGUCUAACUAGGUGAAUUGCAUGGUAUAUUGGUUAUACUUCAAUAAAGCUGUUUAAAAAAUGUCAAAGCAGAAAUAAUCCUUUUUAUUCCACUGCUGUUCUUAUU
rnacentral:lncRNA from 10 species